AGAUCCUGCGUUGCUGUGGCUGGGGUGUAGGCCGGCAGCUGUAGCUCCGAUGCGACCCCUGGCCUGGGAACUUCCAUAUGCCGCCGGCGUGGCCCUAAAAAGCAAAAGAAAAAAAGCAAAAUCUCUGGCAGGAUCUGGUGGGCCCUGUGCAGACUGUGGGAUCCAUCCCAAGAGCCCUGGAAUGCCGCUGGACACAAAAACAGAAGUAAAACUGAAAGAACCACCAAACUUCAAGUAAGCCUUUCUUCCUCGAGAGAUUAUCUCCUGAAAGAUCUCAUCCUGGUUAAACAAAGAGGCCACGGCAAAUGUGAAGAGGUCACAACUCUCUCACUUCCAGCCUGCAUCUCCCUCUCCUGUGCCAAGGUCGCUGAAUCAGAGCCGUCACUGAGGGCUACACCUGGCCCUGGGCUGGCUAUCCGCUGAUCUGUCUUCACCCCUGAAGUUAUCACCGCCUUUCCUUUUCAGAGAGGGAACAGGCCCAGGAGAGUCCAGGAGGCCACACAGCUACGUCUGCUUCCCUAUCUUCCAGACCAAGACCAACGGGCCCUGUGAACCCAAUGCCAAACCCCAGCUGUCACCCACCUCAGUGUCCUCCCUUCUCAAAAUCAACACCGAUGCACAUGUGACACCGUUUCCUGCGUGUUCAGCAGUCCACCGUGUGGGGCUCUGGGGCAAGGCUGAAACAUCCUCACCCAAGACGCCGCCUCUCCCCUCCCCCGACUCUGGAACAGCAGUAUUUCACCCAGUGGCCCAGGGGCCGGGCCCCUCCCACCUCAGUCCCUGCCUGGGUUCCCGCUGUACCUGGGUACGCAGCCUGUCUUCCCCAACCGUCUGCAAAUCUCCUUUGAAAGUAGGGAAGAAAGGUCACGCAAGAUGGAGGUAAGAGUACUUCCUGACAAGGGUAUUGAAGAGGAAUCAGGACGAGCUGCUUUGGAGGAACCUGGAUGAACCCAAAGACUAUCAUACCAAGUGAGCCAGAGAAGGGCAAAUACAUGAUGUCACUUCCAUGUGGAAUCCAAUCAAAAAUGAUACAAAGGGACUUACGGAUAAAACAACUCCCGAGGGGAAACCGUAGGGGGAGGGAUAUCCUGGGAGGAUGGGAUUAACACACACACACACGGCUAUACACAAAACAGACCAUGAAGGACCUUCGGGGCAUAGCGCAGGGAAAUCCGCCCAAUAUUCUGUAAUAACCUACAUGGGAAAAAAGAAUGGCUAUAUGUAUACCUGAUUCACUCUGCUGUACACCUGAAACUAAUACAAUAUUCUAAGUCAGCGAUACUCCAAUAAAAC
rnacentral:lncRNA from 1 species